AGUUUGAUCAUGGCUCAGAUUGAACGCUGGCGGCAGGCCUAACACAUGCAAGUCGAGCGGCAGCGGGAAAGUAGCUUGCUACUUUUGCCGGCGAGCGGCGGACGGGUGAGUAAUGCCUGGGAAAUUGCCCAGUCGAGGGGGAUAACAGUUGGAAACGACUGCUAAUACCGCAUACGCCCUACGGGGGAAAGCAGGGGACCUUCGGGCCUUGCGCGAUUGGAUAUGCCCAGGUGGGAUUAGCUAGUUGGUGAGGUAAUGGCUCACCAAGGCGACGAUCCCUAGCUGGUCUGAGAGGAUGAUCAGCCACACUGGAACUGAGACACGGUCCAGACUCCUACGGGAGGCAGCAGUGGGGAAUAUUGCACAAUGGGGGAAACCCUGAUGCAGCCAUGCCGCGUGUGUGAAGAAGGCCUUCGGGUUGUAAAGCA
rnacentral:rRNA from 1 species